AGUGAACGCUGGCGGUAGGCCUAACACAUGCAAGUCGAACGGCAGCACAGUAAGAGCUUGCUCUUACGGGUGGCGAGUGGCGGACGGGUGAGGAAUACAUCGGAAUCUACUUUUUCGUGGGGGAUAACGUAGGGAAACUUACGCUAAUACCGCAUACGACCUACGGGUGAAAGCAGGGGAUCUUCGGACCUUGCGCGAUUGAAUGAGCCGAUGUCGGAUUAGCUAGUUGGCGGGGUAAAGGCCCACCAAGGCGACGAUCCGUAGCUGGUCUGAGAGGAUGAUCAGCCACACUGGAAGUGGGACACGGUCCAGACUCCUAAGGGAGGCAGCAGUGGGGAAUAUUGGACAGUGGGCGCAAGCCUGAUCCAGCCAUACCGCGUGGGUGAAGAAGGCCUUCGGGUUGUAAAGCCCUUUUGUUGGGAAAGAAAAGCAGCAGGUUAAGACCCCGCUGUUCUGACGGUACCCAAAGAAUAAGCACCGGCUAACUUCGUG
rnacentral:rRNA from 1 species